AAAAAAGACAAGCCUCCUCGAAUACUGUGGUCCAGAGAAAUGACUGCCUCUUUAAAUGCAUUAAAGGGAGUGCUGACCUCCCCCACUCAAAGGUGCUGCCUGUGGGAAUGCCGGCCUGUCUGAGAGGGGUAGCAGCUUGCGCUAUCAUGAUAAGGGACUGCGAGAAGCUUACACUCUCACAUGACACUAUUCUACACACCAAUCACCAGGUCACGACCAUUGUAGCGGACAUAACCACACAACAUAUGCAAAUCUCACUAUAAAAGCGAGCAGCACACAUGAUUCGCCAGGACAUUUAUUGAUCCAUAUGCUGUGUUCUUCUGACCGACGGGAUGGCUCAGACAGGCUUGACGAUCAUGACUGCAUGACAUGUAUAAAGGAAUCCAAAGGAAUCACGUCCAGAUUUAGAGCUCAUUUACAUUUAGAGGCCAACAAUGGCGUUACACUCGCCUAACACAGGAACUCGAUUUUGCACCAUCCAAAACCUGUAAAUGUAAAAGACAUGUUGUGAUUUUUGGGUCUGACUGGUUACAGCAGGACCUAUGUCCCAGACUAUGUUGCCCUUACCUCCCCUCUGCGCGUUUUGGUAAAUGAACAAGGCAUGAGAAACCUAUCUGCUCCCCUAUCAUGGACUACAGAAGCAGAACAGGCGUUUAUACAGUUAAAACAACAGCUUUCUGUCGCCUCUGACCUUGCUGUGCCAGAUUACGCCUUGCCUUUUCAUCUUGAUGUUUCUGGAACUGGAACCCAUGUCAAUGGUAUCCUGUUCCAGAAAAAAGGGGGAGAGAGAAAAGUGUAGACAUAUGUAAGUGCAAUGAAGAAAGUGAGAAGAAAGGAGAGCGGCAAAGCAGAGAAAUGAAGGAUGACGAUGAGAAGAGGGCGAGUGGAAAAAGCUGGGUGUUGGAGCUAAGCUAUAAAACCAGGAGGGGGGGAAACAGAGUGAUAGGAAGGGAGGAGUGAGGCAAGGCUGCAGAAGAGGUGUGAAGACUCAUCUUUUUCUGGAUGGGUGUGAGUUAAGGCCGGAGCAGAGAGAGGCCUGGGAGCACAGCAUAGCCUAGUGGUAAUAAACCAGGAAACCCCAGUAGAGAAACAGACAACAUCAGCUAUAAGGAAGCUAUAAAGUGUUUUUAAAAUCAAAAUAUAGUCUUCAGUCUGAGCUUGAUAUCUUUAAAGUUGAUUGCUAGCUAGUUUACUCUUAUAGGGAAAUCGGUUAAAAGGGACCGUUUCAGAAAUUUUAGAAGUCAUGUUUGUUUUUGUACAUGUUAUGAGAUAUUUAAUUCAUAAAAUACACAUAUCAAGGGAAAUUCCAGUCCCCUUGACAUAUUUUGUUUUAAAUUGUAUAAAACAGUAUUGUGUCCAUAGCAUAAAAUGUAGCGUACGGUAAAGGAAACAGUUGGGUAAUCAAUUGAAUCUAAAUAGGUUUGAAACAUAAGUUUGGCUCAGUUUACCACCCCCAAUCCCAGGGGAAAGUGGAAAGGAUGAAUCAAACUCUAAAAACUAAAUUGGCUAAAAUCUGUGCACAGACCAAAUUAGAUUGGGUUAAGGCAUUGCCUCUUGCAUUAAUGUCCAUAAGAUGCUCAGUAAAUCAAACCUCUGGUUACACUCCAUUUGAGUUGGAGCAUGGCAGGCCUUUUCCUGGCCCCUCCUCUCGCCUGUUAAUGUCGGAUGAAGCUGAUUCGGACCUC